GCGGGGCGGAUGCGUUCUGUGCCGGCAGCUGCCGUGGCACCGAGCCUGGCCUAGGUGUGCUUUCCCUGCUCGGUACGGGGGGGAUCUGCUCGGUACGGGGGGGAUGCACGUGGCUCAAGUGCCGUAAUAAGAGUGUAGCUUUGGCAGUAGUCAACAUAAAACCCAAAGGAUUUGUCGAGACUUUAUGAAAUAACAACAUCCAGCCAAGAAACUCAAGGCUCUUUACAAGUAUUCCUGAAUUAAACUGAUGAGCAGAGCUGGUUGCUGCUGCAUUGCUUUUCCUGCCACUAGUGAAUGAUUCUGCUGUUCCUGUGUUUAAGAAAGACCUCUCCCUUAAGUGAGACCAUGAACAAUGGCCACACUUCAGAAAAGCAGGAGAUCCUCACGUACUGUGGAAAAAUACAAGAGUGUCAAUAAUGGAUUUGAACAUGAGCUACCAGCAAGCUGGAUGAAUUGUGUGAUUGUCACAUCCACUGAAUGUUCUGGAGCAUCCCUGACAAGGCUUCCUUAUGCCAUGCUCAUGAAGCAGUGAUAUUCUGCUAUUGCAUUUCACAGGAGAAGGCACAGAGACAAUCAGUAGGUCUCCCGACAUGGCAGGAAAUUGGAGUCAAGUGUCCCAAACUAGAGGCAGUGCUCUAUUACUUCAGUCGUAGGUGUUGUAAUAUGAAAUUCUGCUCGACUUCCAAGCAAGCAAAUCUCCAUCCUGCAAAGUGCAGAGAAGAGCCUGAAGUGCUGGGACACCCCACUGACUGCAGAACAGGGAAAACACUGACAAAUCCUUGAUUCCCCGUAGGCGACAAAGUGUGAACAUGAAGAAGAGGGAAGGAGGAAAAGAUGGCAGGCAUGGACCUGCAGCUCUCUUGCCUAUGUCCUGAGAGGGCCCUGUCUCCUCAGUUGCACCAGCACUGUGAUUUCUGGCAUUGUUCUGUCUUUGGUGGAAGCUGAAGCAUAAUGGUGAAAGAAAAAAUAAUCAGAGGCAAUCACCACAAAAAUCUGGAUGAACAAACUUCUCAUGUAUAUGGCAGGGCAACCUCAGAAAGUGGUGUGCACAGCUGUCUUGGCUGCUUGUCGGGGCCAUGAAGAUCAUGCUCCAGGCUGGCUGCAGGUACCUGAGACUGCAGGGCAGAAGAGGGAGCUACCAGUAGCUGCCAGUGGCCAGCUCAGGUGUCAGACUUAUGCAAAGUCUAAACUAUACCACUAAACAAUGCCACUUAUGAAUACAAAAUUCCCCUAUUUCUUUUUUGCUUUAAUGAGAAGAGCUUUGCAGAUGUGAGGUCAGGAACAAAAGUAGCCAGUAUUUCCUCUCUUUCUACAUGCUAAUCAGCCCUGUUCAUGGGGCACUGGCUAAUCCCUUUGGCUUCUGAACUGAGAAAAGAAGAUGCUCCUCUUCCAAGAAACUAAUGAAUCACCCCUUUUAGUACAUGCAUGACUACAUUGUUAAAAGCAGUCUUAAUCACUCACUGAGAAAAACGUUAUGAUCAUUUCUCUCUUUUAGUUGUUAACUGGAAGCCUUGGGAGUUGUGACUCACAGCCUGUGUGCUGUGGCAAGCCCAGAAAGACUUCAAUAGAUUUUUAGCUAGUUAUAGGAACCCCCUGCAUCUUAUUCCUCACAUCUUCCUUGUAUAGGUAUAACUUGGAAAAAUGGUAAAUUUCUUGGUUUUGUACUAUUCUAAAAAUCACUGCUUUGCAGAUGCAUUUGACCUGAACUUUACACCAGAGUUCAAAGAAGAGAAGCAUUUUUGGUAGGCAACUGACUUCUAGCAGGGAAUAGGGCAAAACAUCUCCUGAGCUGGAGGAAACCCACCCUCCAUUUUGCCUUUACUCUGUAGUGCUGUUGGACAUACCAUGCAUACAGUGGUUUGCCUGGUUUACAAGCAUAGGACUGUGUGUCAGGAGGGCAAUGAAAUAAGAAAAAAGGAGUGGUAAGAGUAAAUUAGACAGUUCUUGACAGCUUCCUGGAAAGAGGAUGAAUGGGUCUGAGGUUCAAUAUAGGAUGAGGAUCCCCUUGAAGGCUCUCCAGAUACAGUUAAGUAUUUUUUAUUUCCUACUGUGAAGCAUCAGCCACAAAAAUACAUCUAGUCUACUCAUUAAAUGUAAAUUGCUAAGGAUGACAGGGAUAAAUAAAAACAAAAUCUCGAGGUAAAUGGUAUACUUAGAGAUGCUUCAAAAAGGCACUUGGAAUCAUUGUAUGAUCUACCCUUUGGGCUGUGCUGGUAGAAGUAGAAGGGUAGAAUGGCUCAGAGAUCCUCUGCUUUAGCAGAGACUGCUGUGACACAUUAUCUCCAUCAGAUGACAAUAGUUUUCUUUCAGCAUCUUUGCCUAGGACUGGAUAACUAGCUUUUUGUUUCUCGGGCUGCAAUUGCUGGGAAAAGUGUUGCCAUCAGCUGUAGGUCUUAGAAAUAUCCUUUGAUAUAUAGAAAGGAAAUGGGAUUUAUUUUGAGACAGUCUCACUCCCCUGGCGUGUUGCUUGAUGAAUGUAGUCUCUUGAAGGAGGCAUGCUGCCGUGGAGGCACAACCUGUGUCAGCUCAACUUUCAGAGAAUGACACAAACCACUGUAGAGGAAGCAGAUGUUCCCAGUGGUAUCACAAAUAAAGAACCGACAGGGACACAUUUGGGAAGAAGGGCAUGCUAAAGACCCUAGCAAAACUGCACUUGGUGGGUUCAAGGGAGGAUUCAGUGAGACCAGAGGUGAACAGAGAGCCUUGCUGGGAGAUAGCUCUGGAGAAGAACAGAGAAGCUCCAGAGGCCUCCCUACCCAUCACAGGCUGUUGGGCGGUUCAGGUUUUGUGUGAUGAUCAUACAGAUGCAAAGAAGUGUAACUUGCAGAGCUAAAACCCCAGCCAUCCUCUGGAUGGGUACUAAAUGGUCCUAAAAGGUCAGCGUGAAAGAGCAAAUAGUAACUGUACAAAAUUCUAGCCUUUACAUAGUUUUGUCUUGGUAGGAAAUAGCCAGGACCUUGACAGUUGAAAGUGAGCAGACCUACUAAAAUCAUGUAACUGUUUUCGUGAUGCAGAGAUUGCUAUAGUAGCCAGCACUUUUUCUUUGUGCAUGGCAGACAUCAGGAAACCAAAAUCUUUAAUGGCAAAGCACAAUUUGAAUUUCUGACUGCAACAUCUGUUUAAAAUAUCUUUGAUACUCUUAAAAUAUUUCAGUUUAGUAACCUCAUUCAGCGUCAAUUUCUGCUCAUAUCUGAGAGCACCUUUUAAUAUCUGCUGUUUCUUACAUUCAUAAAAAUAGUACUUGAACAUCAAAUGAUCCUUUAUAAAUGUAAGACUCAUAGGCCACUUCAGUAAAUUGCUUAUUGCAACUAAUUGCCCACCACUUCACAAAACUCCCUUUCUGUUUUAGGGCCCUUCCUUGCAAAGCCCCCAUGAGACUGAGAUAGACUCCAUAUCUAAUACCCCAAUAUUUAGAGUACAAGAUUGUGACACUCAAUGUAUUUUUUUUCCUUCUGGAUCCCGUGUAUUUAUAAGGCACAGGCCUCCUUUUGAGACCUCAGAGCAAGGCCCUUGCAUUGUGCAACUGGAGGAUUCCCUCUGGUUCCCUCACUCAACCAGGUUGAGUGGUUGGCUAUGGUCUCAUACACCUCUCUGACAGAUACAUGCACACACUAU